CUGAUGCAAACCUUUUCGUCUGAUGAAACCUUGUAUUUUUCACGAUGAGAUUUUUUUGGUUUGUUUUUUAUGCAUCAUCAGUUUAAUGCCUAAAAGAAUAUUUGGUAUCACAUUUACUUUCUGAACCUUCUGAUGAACAAUUUUGUCUUUUUUACAGAAUUUGGUUCUCACAGCUGUCUGAGUGGCUGAAGGGAGAUUUAUGAUCUGACCAAGGUGAAACAGGUCAGGAGAAGAACGACUUCUUGCCACCCACGUUCCUGUCUUCUCUCAGCACCAUCAAACACUGAUACCCCUCCAAGGACCCUCCUCUCCACUCCCCUCAACCCACCCACUGCUCCCUCACUCGGACCUCCAUCAGUGCACGGCAGGAGAAAGAAAGAAAGAGCGAGGGAGGGAUGGAGGAAAGGAUGGACGAAGUUUUUAGAGGCGCAACAUGUCUGGUCGCCGACACCAUUUGGCAACAAACGCGGGAACUCAGAGUGAUGUUGGGUUUUUUUUUAAAUAAAAGCUGAAUGCACAGAUCCACAUCUUUAUGCAGACACAGGAGUGGUUUGGAGUGUUUGGACCUUCUCCAUGUCUGUGACUCAGAGGCCUGGCCCGCUUGCCCAGUGUUCAGACUACCUGUUCAGGAUGUGGUGAUUGUACAGUAGUCUGCACAUUGGUUAGGCUGAUCAGGGGAAAGCACACUGAUUCCCUGCGCUAAACAAGCAUACAAGCACAUCAACAUGUGUCUGGCUGGCAUUGUAGUGUUCAGUGCAAAAGGCUGGAAAAAAGGUGAAAAAUGGGAAACAUGUUUCUAUUUUACAUGUUAAUGUUAAAAAUUAAAUCUGGAUAUAUUCAACUACAGAAAAAAGUAGUCAAAGGUUUGCUAUGCCAGUCUCAGUUUCCAGAUCUGAUUUGAAGAAGACCCUGUAUGACCCCUAGCAGAAGUUUAACAUAUAUUUCAAGAAAAUGGACAGUGGAUGCAUAUUACUUCCAGAACGUCCAGAAUGAAAAAAAAUUCUUCUCAGACAAUAUAAAUGAGAUCGGAGGCUUUUCUAAAGGCAAAGAGGAGGCAAGCAAGCUAUCCGAGAAUAUUGAUAUCACUUUCAGAAAGGUUGAGGCAAACCUUUGAACUGAUGUAAUUUUGCAAUGAAUUAAAUUCAUCUGUCUUCUUCAUUUUGUCCUAAGGUCAUAUAAACCUUUGCAAAUAACAGUAUAGCUGUUAA